rnacentral:rRNA from 1 species
UAUGGUAAUCCAGCAGCCGCGGUAAAACGUAGGUCCCAAGCGUUGUCCGGAAUUACUGGGUGUAAAGGGAGCGCCGGCGGGAGAACAAGUUGGAAGUGAAAUCCAUGGGCUCAACCCAUGAACUGCUUUCAAAACUGUUUUUCUUGAGUAGUGCAGAGGUAGGCGGAAUUCCCGGUGUAGCGGUGGAAUGCGUAGAUAUCGGGAGGAACACCAGUGGCGAAGGCGGCCUACUGGGCACCAACUGACGCUGAGGCUCGAAAGUGUGGGUAGCAAACAGG